CCUGCUGAGCCAUCUCUCCAGCCCCUAGAUUCAGUUCUUACAAGAAAUGCAGGAUGAGGGGCUGGAGAGAUGGUUCAGCAGU
rnacentral:pre_miRNA from 1 species